rfam:Trichobilharzia regenti genome assembly, scaffold: TRE_scaffold0002197
AUCCAGUUGACGAGUCUCAAAUGGGACGAAAUGCGCAUCCUGGCUGGAU